ACAUCCAGAGAAUUUAGCAGAGAUGCUUUAGUGCCUUCGGGAACUCUGAGACAGGUGCUGCAUGGCUGUCGUCAGCUCGUGUUGUGAAAUGUUGGGUUAAGUCCCGCAACGAGCGCAACCCUUAUCCUUUGUUGCCAGCACGUAAUGGUGGGAACUCAAAGGAGACUGCCGGUGAUAAACCGGAGGAAGGUGGGGAUGACGUCAAGUCAUCAUGGCCCUUACGAGUAGGGCUACACACGUGCUACAAUGGCGCAUACAAAGAGAAGCGACCUCGCGAGAGCAAGCGGACCUCAUAAAGUGCGUCGUAGUCCGGAUUGGAGUCUGCAACUCGACGCCAUGAAGUCGGAAUCGCUAGUAAUCGUAAAUCAGAAUGUUACGGUGAAUACGUUCCCGGGCCUUGUACACACCGCCCGUCACACCAUGGGAGUGGGUUGCAAAAGAAGUAGAUAGCUUAACCUUCGGGAGGGCGUUUACCACUUUGUGAUUCAUGACUGGGGUGAAGUCGUAACAAGGUAAGCGUAGUGCU
rnacentral:rRNA from 1 species